rnacentral:rRNA from 1 species
AACGAACGCUGGCGGCAGGCUUAACACAUGCAAGUCGAGCGCCCCGCAAGGGGAGCGGCAGACGGGUGAGUAACGCGUGGGAACGUACCUUUUGGUUCGGAACAACUCCGGGAAACUGGAGCUAAUACCGGAUAAGCCCUAACGGGGAAAGAUUUAUCGCCGAAAGAUCGGCCCGCGUCUGAUUAGCUAGUUGGUGAGGUAACGGCUCACCAAGGCGACGAUCAGUAGCUGGUCUGAGAGGAUGAUCAGCCACACUGGGACUGAGACACGGCCCAGACUCCUACGGGAGGCAGCAGUGGGGAAUAUUGGACAAUGGGCGCAAGCCUGAUCCAGCCAUGCCGCGUGAGUGAUGAAGGCCUUAGGGUUGUAAAGCUCUUUUGUCCGGGAAGAUAAUGUCUGUACCGGAAGAAUAAGCCCCGGCUAACUUCGUG